UAAGACCUCGCGUUAUUGGAGCGGCCGAUAUCUGAUUAGCUAGUUGGUGGGGUAAGAGCCUACCAAGGCGACGAUCAGUAGCUGGUCUGAGAGGACGACCAGCCACACUGGGACUGAGACACGGCCCAGACUCCUACGGGAGGCAGCAGUGGGGAAUUUUGGACAAUGGGCGAAAGCCUGAUCCAGCCAUGCCGCGUGAGUGAAGAAGGCCUUCGGGUUGUAAAGCUCUUUCGCAAGGAAAGAAAUCCUAUCCACUAAUACUGGGUGGGGAUGACGGUACCUUGAUAAGAAGCACCGGCUAACUACGUGCCAGCAGCCGCGGUAAUACGUAGGGUGCGAGCGUUAAUCGGAAUUACUGGGCGUAAAGCGAGCGCAGGCGGUUUUGUAAGUCAGAUGUGAAAUCCCCGGGCUCAACCUGGGAACU
rnacentral:rRNA from 1 species